rnacentral:rRNA from 1 species
AGAGUUUGAUCAUGGCUCAGAACGAACGCUGGCGGCAGGCCUAACACAUGCAAGUCGAACGAGAAGCCACCUUCGGGUGGUGGACAGUGGCAGACGGGUGAGUAACGCGUGGGAACGUGCCUUUCGGUUCGGGAUAACCCAGGGAAACUUGGGCUAAUACCGGAUACGCCCUUCGGGGGAAAGAUUCAUUGCCGAAAGAUCGGCCCGCGUCGGAUUAGCUAGUUGGUAGGGUAAAAGCCUACCAAGGCGACGAUCCGUAGCUGGUCUGAGAGGAUGACCAGCCACACUGGGACUGAGACACGGCCCAGACUCCUACGGGAGGCAGCAGUGGGGAAUAUUGGACAAUGGGCGCAAGCCUGAUCCAGCCAUGCCGCGUGGGUGAAGAAGGCCUUAGGGUUGUAAACCCCUUUCAGCGGGGAAGAUAAUGACGGUACCCGCAGAAGAAGUCCGGCUAACUCCGUGCCAGCAGCCGCGGUA